rnacentral:rRNA from 1 species
GAUGAACGUUAGCGGCAGGCCUAACACAUGCAAGUCGAGGGGUAGAGGCUUUCGGGCCUUGAGACCGGCGCACGGGUGCGUAACGCGUAUGCAAUCUGCCUUGUACUGGGGGAUAGCCCAGAGAAAUUUGGAUUAAUACCUCAUAGUAUUUUCGGUUGGCAUCAACUGAUUAUUAAAGUUUUUCGGUACAAGAUGAGCAUGCGUCCCAUUAGCUAGUUGGUAUGGUAACGGCAUACCAAGGCUACGAUGGGUAGGGGUUCUGAGAGGGAGAUCCCCCACACUGGUACUGAGACACGGACCAGACUCCUACGGGAGGCAGCAGUGAGGAAUAUUGGUCAAUGGUCGCAAGACUGAACCAGCCAUGCCGCGUGCAGGAUGAAGCAUCUAUGGUGUGUAAACUGCUUUUGUACGGGAAGAAACACUCCUACGUGUAGGGGCUUGACGGUACCGUAAGAAUAAGGAUCGGCUAACUCCGUGCCAGCCGCCGCGGUAAGAC